rnacentral:rRNA from 1 species
CCUACGGGUGGCAGCAGUGAGGAAUAUUGGUCAAUGGGCGAGAGCCUGAACCAGCCAAGUCGCGUGAGGGAGUACUGCCCUAUGGGUUGUAAACCUCUUUUGUCGUGGAGCAAAAGCGGGACGUGUCCGGCUGUGAGAGUACCCGAAGAAAAAGCAUCGGCUUACUCCUUUCCAGCAGCCGCGGUAAUACGGAGGAUGCGAGCAGUAUCCGGAUUUUUUGGGUUUUAAGGGGGCGCAGGCGGAUUUUUAAGUCAUCGGUAAAAUCGUGGGGCACAACCCCAUCGAGCCGUUGAAACUGGGGAUCUAGAGUGUGCGAGAGGUAUGCGGAAUGCGUGGUGUAGCGGUGAAAUGCAUAGAUAUCACGCAGAACCCCGAUUGCGAAGGCAGCAUACCGGUGCACAACUGACGCUCAGGCACGAAAGCGUGGGUAUCGAACAGGAUUAGAUACCCUGGUAGUC